CAACCAAAAAAAGAAUGAAAUUCUAAUACAUACUACAAUGUGAAUAAACCUUGAAAACAUGCUAAAUAAAAUAAGUUCUACACAUAAUAUAGCUCCACUGAUGUGAAGUAACUAGAAUAGCAAAUUCAAAAGAGACAAAUAGAGUAGCUGUUACAAGGGAAUAGAGGUGGGGGGGAAGGGGAGUUAUUUAAUGGAUACAGAGCUUAUGUUUGGGAUGAUGAAAAAGUUCUGAAAAUGGUUAGUAGUGAUGGUUGCACAGCAUCAAAUGUAUUUAAUGCUGCUGAAAGUUGUUAAAAUGGUAAAAAAAAAAGCAUGUUAACUUAAAGUCAGCUUAUAAUUAAAUAUGUUCAAAUAUAAAUUAUAGGAGAAAAAAACUAAAAUCUGAGUAGUUAUAAGAUUUACAGUACCCAUUAAAAAGAAUUUUUUAGAUGUAGAUUUCUAACACUAGACCGGAACUCAAGCAUUGUGUUGACGAAACCUGGACAGAUCACAGAACUCAAUGGCCUCCUUCUUGCUCCUUGAACACCACACUCCCAUCCAGACCCUUGCCCUUCCUGGAAUGGGUUUGGCCACAUGCCCACAAGGCUAGCUCCCCCCCUCCUCCUGGUUUCUGCUCAGGUGUCACCCACAGAGGAGGCCUUUUGUGACAAUUCCUUUUUAAGUCUCUUUCCAGGCUUAUUUUUCUCCAUAGCAUUGACGACUGUCUCACAUUCUACACAUUUUAUGCCUUCAUUUGUUUUCGUCUACCCACUCUAGACCGAAAGCUUUAUGACGUUUAUCUCUAUCCCUGGUUACUCAAAAUACUGCUUUAGCUCACAAUAAAUAUUUGUUGAAUGAAUGGUUGAAUAAAUCAUGAUACUUCAGUUUGUUUACUAUUAAAAUGGGAUAGGGCAGCCCGGGUGGCUCAGCGGUUUAGUGCCGCCUUCAGCCCAGGGCAUGAUCCUGGGGUCUCGGGAUCGAGUCCCACAUCGGGCUCCCUGCGUGGAGUCUGCUUCUCCCUCUGCCUAUGUCUCUGCGUCUCUCUCUCUCUGUGUCUCUCAUGAAUGAAUGAAUGAAUGAAUGAAUGAAUGAAUGAAUGAAUAAAUUGGGAUAAACCUCUUUGGAAAUAUGUCAGUGGAAAACCCAGAAUCCCAAUACAGCCAACCUAGCUCCCAGGACCUCUACAUACUGAAUAUUGCUUUGGCACAAGACAUCCAGCAGGCACCAGUGAGGAGGCCACAGGGGAACCAGACCAACUCCUGUCCUCACACGUGGAAUGAGAUGCAAUUGUACUGACACAAUGUCGUGGGAACUCAAAGGUUAUGUCCAGAAUAGAGGAAUGGUCUCUUUGAUUCCUUCCCCGGCUCCCUGCCCAUUCAGAAGCCCCAUCUUGCACUUUGGCAGGGCCAAUGAUCCCUGUCACGACUGCCUGGUGUGCCCCACUAUCUCCUAGUCUAAUGGCCUGCUCAUACAGAGGUGCUAAUAUCUCCUGAUUUGAGUGCAUGGCCACAUCCUUCCUGCCUGUCUAGAAAUGAAGCCUCUUCAACCAGUCACAAUGUGGGAUUUCAGGCCCAGAGAACCAUUCUAAAUCCUCCUGAAUCGAUUCUCACAAGGUAGCUGCUGCUGUGUCCAUGUAAGAUCCCCACCUCCUUGUCACCCAGCCUGGCCACUUUUUCAGAACUGCGAGGGAUCUUCUCUGAUCAGAGUGAGGUGGAAAAAAACUAGUUGGCUUUAAAGAUGCUGUUUCUCUGAUUUUUUUUUUUUAAAGGAAAUGCAUACUGUACACAUGAGAGACUCCAAGGCUGAAAGAUGCUGUGGCAGUUGAGAUGCACCUGGGAGCCCCCAACUGUUCCCUGGCUCGGCCUCAGGGGGUGGGACAGGCAGCCGCAGCACACAGCCCUCCACAGCAGACCGGAGCAGGGCAACCAGUGAAGUCACUGGGCCUCGAACCCGAUGUCUCCCACCUGGCCAAGGGCUCUUCUUCCUUUUCAGGCAGAGGCUUUUCCAGUCUCUGGUGUCCCCUCUGUCCCUCCCACCCCAGGACUAGGUGCCUUGGUGUUUGCUGUACAUCUCCCUUCAAGACACAAUUGUGGGGGGCCUAACCUCCACCAGGCCGACUCUUCCUGUGAGUAAAAGAGAUAGCAUCUAUUCCCCACUGUCCCACAUUGUCACUUAUGUUUUUACGUCUCGAGAUCCAGCUUCUGCCCCCCUGUGCCCUUCACCAGAGCUCAGGAUUGGACCAACCACACUCCAUUUACAAGUUGUUUAAAACCUUUGGUGCAUGAAUAAAUGUACAUCCCUACAGCCUCCUUACUACCAGAUGAGCUUCUGGUCCCGCUUGGGCUGCUCAGCCUGAAGCAGCCCCUGAGCCACGUCCCUCUCCCAGCCCUUCCUCAGCCUGGCCGAGCUCCUGCCGGUGCUACACAAGCAAACUGCCAGCGGAGGAGAUGGAAAACCAAACUGGGGAGUCGUGAUGUUAAGCACAAAUUUAUAAAUACAAGGGAAAAUGUCAUGCCCAGAUACAGUCUAGCUCUUCCCUUUCCUGGCAAACUACCUUCCAGUGGUGCUCUUUGCAGGGAUGUUCCCGACGGGCAGCAGCCCCGGCCAAUGCUGGGAUUUGAGUAAUCACAGGCCAAGUGGGGCGUGUGGGAAGGUGUGCUGUUUGCUCUGGCUCAUGGCCCUUAACAAUCUGUAGCUAUUUUAAAUGUAUCCCACAGCCUUUCAUUUGCUUCACUAAUUUCUCUAAAAUAGAAUUGUCUAUUUGUGGGUCAAAAUUGGAGAAGCUUCUUGUUCAUCACCAAACUGCUCUUUGGUGAGACUGGAGACCACACGUGUGCCAAAACCCAAAACGGCUAGGCACAUAGUGAGUGAGUGAGUGCUCAAUCAAUGUUAGCUAAAAGAGAUUGUGUAUUGCAUCUCUGGAUCCCCAGAACCGAUCAAUACGGGCCUCUCAGAAAAUAGUUUUGAUUUGAAUGUACCUCCUCCUGCCUUGACUUCUCAUUGUACUUCAGUUCUGUUUUACCACUGUCUACAUGGUAUUUCCACCUAAAUGUGUUGUUUGACAUGUUGGCCUGACAGUUUUCCUAUUUCCUAUUUCUGCCAGUGGUGGUAAUAAUACCACUUGUUCCUGUGGUUCUUUUUGUUCGUGUAUCCUAAAAUUUCAGUGGCUUACAGUAUCUUUUCUCACUCACACUACAUAUCCAUCAAAAGUUGCCCACUGCUCUGCUCUCCAUUGUUUUCACCCUAGGACCAAGGCUGGGAAAGCCACUUCUACUUUGAAUAAUGCUGAUUGUUAUGGCAGAGGGGAAAGCGAUAUGGUGAUGACAUGCUAGCCCCCAACACUUUUGCCAGGAAGUGAUAUACAUCACUUCCAGCUAUAUUUCACUGGCUAACAUAAGUCCCAUGAUUCACACACCCCCAGACAGAAGUGAUGAAUAUUUGGAAAAAUGGUACCUACUUUGUUAACUAUGCUAAAUACAUUUCUUAAAAAACAACUUUAGUAUAAAUCAUACACCAAAUAAUUUGGCCCUUGAAAGUAUACAAUUACAUAAUUUUUAGUACUUGCAGAAUUACUCAAUCAGCAUCACUAAAGACAAUGGCUCCCACUGGUUUCAGGAUAUUCACAUCAAUUUUGGAAUAUUUUCAUUACUCCAAAAAAGAAAUGAGAAUACCCAUCAGUGGUCACUCUUUAUUCUCUCCUUCCCCUAGUCUCUACUACUACUAGGCAAUUACUAGUCUAAUUUGUUUCUAUAGAUUUGUCUAUUUGAGAUAUUUUACAUAAAUGGAAGGAUAUAAUAGAUGACCUUUUCUGUGGAAUUCACUUAGCAUAAUGUUUUUAGGACUCAUUCAUGUUGUAGCAUAUAUCAGUAUCUCAUUCCCGCCGCCCAUCAUAUUCCUGUGUAUGGGUACACCACAUUUUGUUUAUCCAUUCAUCAUUGAUACACAUUUGGGUCGUUACUAAUUGUUUGCUAUUGUGAAUGAUGCUAUGCACAUUUGUGUAUACAUCUCUGUUGGACAUAGAUAUUUUCAAUUCUCUUGGGUACAUACUUAAAAGUGGAAUUUCUGGGUCAUAUGGGAACUCUGUUUUUUGGUAACAUUUUGAGGAACUACCAAAUUGUUUCAAGUGUCUGCAGUAUUUUUACAAUUCCAUCAACAAUGUAUGAGGAUUCCAAUUUCUCUAUACCUUUAUCAACACUUAUAAUUGUCUAUUCUUUUUAUUAUAAGCAUCCUAGUAGGUAUGAAGUGGUAGCUCUUUGUGGUUUUGAUUUGCAUUUCCCUGAUGACUUAUGAUAUUGUCUUUUCAUGUGUUUAAAGACCCUUUGUAUAUCUUUCUUGGAAAUGUCUUUUUAAAGCUUUUAUGCAGGGGAUCCCUGGGUGGCGCAGCGGUUUAGUGCCUGCCUUUGGCCCAGGGCGCGAUCCUGGAGACCCGGGAUCGAAUCCUACGUCGGGCUCCCGGUGCAUGGAGCCUGCUUCUCCCUCUGCCUGUGUCUCUGC
rnacentral:lncRNA from 1 species